GGAACCAAAAUCUAAUUAAUUUUAAAUUACUUUCAUUAUCAGCCCCUAGCAAAGAAAGAUGCGUAGCUAAGAAGCAGUAGCAGUUUUCUGCAGGCAACUUUGUUGCAAACUAGUCUAGAAUAGCUACUCUGCCAGGAUCUCUAAGUUUUGAACGGAGGAGUAUACCAGCCAAGGCCCCAGCGAAGGAUCAUUUCACAAAUAGCCUCUGAGUGUGUGAAAUAUACUGGAAGAGUAGCUUCGUGAGUUUAGAGCCUGUUUUUAGAGUGUAGUCUACAACGUUUGAUAUUCAAAUUAUUUUCUCUUUUUCAGCAUUCUCCUCUAGCAAAGAAAGAUGCAUAACUUGGAAACAGUGACAGUUUUCUUUAUUCAACUUCUUAGCAAAGUAGUCUACAGUAGUUACUGUGUCAGGAUCUCCUGGUUUCCAACCAAACAGUCAACCAGCCAAGGGCCAGAGCAAGGGAUCACUUCAGAGUGUGGCAAAGAAAGAUGCACCCCUUAGUAACAGUAACAGUUCUCUUCAAGCUACCUUGUAGUUCUAUCUGAACAGUCGAAGAGUCAACCAGCCAAGGACAGAGCGAGAGAUUACUUUAGAGGUCUGUGAAACAAUCGUCACUGCUAUCUGCCAUGGAACCACCACCAUCUUAUGGGUCUGAGAAGUCCUACUCACUGUCACUACUAUCCAAGAUACCCAGGAUACCUCAUCCCCUGUGUACAGAGGCCUCUUUGUUAUUGUUGUACCAUAGAAUUAAGUGUAAUUGUAUUUAUUAUAAUGUAUGUUCACUUUUGAGAUUGAUAUUGAAUUUAUAUAAAUACAAAUUUCACACGAAAUUUUAAGCAAAUUUUUGAUUGGUGACCUAUGGCGAUGGGACUUGGUAUGGCUUCUGUUGACCUUCGAGAGAAGCCUUGCAAAGAUGUGGAGCUCAGGAAGCUCAGUAGCCUCGAUUCCAGGCCGCUAAGAGAGGGCCUGGUAUCGACUGUUUGCGCAUGCGCCACCUAUUACCCAGAAAGUGGGUAAUUCGGAUACCAUUGUAUUUUGCUCAGUAAAACAAUGACGUCACAACGAACGGAAGUGGAUAGAAGUGUGAUUGUAGCCCGUGUGAUAGCAUUCUAAUAGCCACCCUUAGCCUACUAUGUUAACAAAGGACUCACAGCCUGCAACAGUGUGGAUAACAAUCCUCUGAACGGAGGGGAAGGCUGACAAUAGCCAUUAUGGAUAGGCCACGCCCAUCUGACACUAACCUUCGUGAAAGUCGACUCUAUCAGAAAGAAAUUGCUGCUGUAACCAAUACAGCUCUGUCUCUAGCUAGCUAGCUAUAUAGCUCUGUGUCUGACUUUAUGAAGAGUAUUCUUUGUCUGUAUAUGUUAUUCAGGAUAUAAUUCGGGUAAAAAUUCA